AGAGUUUGAUCCUGGCUCAGGAUGAACGCUGGCUACAGGCUUAACACAUGCAAGUCGAGGGGCAGCAUGUAGGUGGCUUGCCACCUAUGAUGGCGACCGGCGCACGGGUGAGUAACGCGUAUCCAACCUGCCCCCUUCCCCGGCACAGCCCCCCGAAAGGGGGAUUAAUGCGGGAUGCGGCCGCGCGACGGCAUCAGGUCGCGGCGAAAGGCUCUGGCCGGAAGGGGAUGGGGAUGCGUCCGAUUAGCUAGACGGCGGGGCAACGGCCCACCGUGGCGACGAUCGGUAGGGGCCCUGAGAGGGGAAUCCCCCACAUUGGGACUGAGACACGGCCCAAACUCCUACGGGAGGCAGCAGUGAGGAAUAUUGGUCAAUGGGCGGAGGCCUGAACCAGCCAAGUAGCGUGAGGGACGAAGGCCCUACGGGUUGUAAACCUCUUUUGUGCGGGGACAAAGUGUGGGACGUGUCCCAUAUUGCGGGUACCGCACGAAUAAGGACCGGCUAAUUCCGUGCCAGCAGCCGCGGUAAUACGGAAGGUCCGGGCGUUAUCCGGAUUCAUUGGGUUUAAAGGGAGCGCAGGCCGCCUAUUAAGCGUGCCGUGAAAUGCCGCGGCUCAACCGUGGCACUGCGGCGCGAACUGGUGGGCUUGGGUGCGCGGAAGGCAGGCGGAAUUCGUGGUGUAGCGGUGAAAUGCUUAGAUAUCACGAGGAACCCCGAUUGCGAAGGCAGCCUGCCGCAGCGCGACCGACGCUGAGGCUCGAAAGCGCGGGUAUCGAACAGGAUUAGAUACCCUGGUAGUCCGCGCGGUAAACGAUGGACGCCCGCCGUGGGGUGAUUGUUAUUCCGCGGCCAAGCGAAAGCGUUAAGCGUCCCACCUGGGGAGUACGCCGGCAACGGUGAAACUCAAAGGAAUUGACGGGGGCCCGCACAAGCGGAGGAACAUGUGGUUUAAUUCGAUGAUACGCGAGGAACCUUACCCGGGCUUGAAUUGCAGACGAACGACCCAGAGAUGGGAAGGCCCUCCGGGGCGUCUGUGAAGGUGCUGCAUGGUUGUCGUCAGCUCGUGCCGUGAGGUGUCGGCUCAAGUGCCAUAACGAGCGCAACCCCCGCCCCCAGUUGCCAUCGGGUAGUGCCGGGCACUCUGGGGGGACUGCCGCCGCAAGGUGCGAGGAAGGCGGGGACGACGUCAAAUCAGCACGGCCCUUACGUCCGGGGCUACACACGUGUUACAAUGGCCGGUACAGAGUGUUGGCGCGCCGCAAGGCGCGUCGGAUCUUGAAAGCCGGCCUCAGUUCGGACCGGGGUCUGCAACCCGACCCCGCGAAGCUGGAUUCGCUAGUAAUCGCGCAUCAGCCAUGGCGCGGUGAAUACGUUCCCGGGCCUUGUACACACCGCCCGUCAAGCCAUGAAAGCCGGGGGUACCUGAAGUGCGUAACCGCAAGGAGCGCCCUAGGGUAAAACUGGUGAUUGGGGCUAAGUCGUAACAAGGUAGCCGUACCGGAAGGUGCGGCUG
rnacentral:rRNA from 1 species